AUGGAGAUUCGCUAUGGUUCUACCGUUGUUGCUUGCUCAGUUCGACAUGGGAAUGUCAAGAAUGUGUCUGUCAAGGAUGUUCGUCAUGGCAACGUUGCCGGUGACAGCAAAACGACCCACCAAUGGAAGCAGCUGGCUUCACUGCUCAGGUGAUUAUGCUGAACCAUCCAGGCCAAAUAAGUGCUGGCUAUGCCCUGUGUUGGAUUGCCAAACGGCUCACAUUGCAUGCAAGAUUGCUGAGCUGAAGGAAAAGAUUGAUCGCCGUUCUGGUAAAAAACUGGAAGAUGGCCCUACAUUCUUGAAGUCUGGUGAUGCUGCCAUUGUUGAUAUGGUUCCUGGCAAGCCUAUGUGUGUUAAGAGCUUCUCAGACUAUCCACCUUUGGGUCACUUUGCUGCUCGUGAUAUGAGGCAGACAGUUGGGGUGAGUGUCAUCAAAGCAGUGGACAAGAAGGCUGCUGGAACUGGCAAGGUCACCAAGUCUGCCCAGAAAGCUCAGAAGGCUAAAUGAAUAUUAUCCCUAAUACCUGCCACCCCACUCUUAUUUAGUGAUGGAAGAACGGUCUCAGAACUGUUUGUUUCAAUUGGCCAUUUAAGUUUAGUAGUAAAAGACUGGUUAAUGAUAACAAUGCAUCGUAAAA